UUGUGUUUUGGUGCAAUGCUGAAUUUUGGUGAGAAAUCAACAUGACAUAUGUAGAGUAUUUCAGCCAUAUCUUGAGUUUUCGAUGUCCAAUUGGAGUCAUACCAAGUGCAAAUGAAAGCUAAGAUCCAUAGCUACAACUUUCAGGAAGACACUGGAACCAAAUUCAGACUCUAAAGAGGAGAAACAUGCAAUAUACACAGGACAGCAGAUGCUGAGCGCUUGGAGCGCGUCGGAGCGCGUCGGAGCUGCCUGAGGCGCGUUUCCAGCCAUCCAACACUGUCCAUGUACGCCUGGAGCGCGUUUCCCACGCCUGGGGCGCGUGACGCGCACCAGAAACCAUAAAAACACAAUUUUUUUUUUUACUGUUUUAGGGAUCUUUUUGACUCCUUGGGAAGUUGGGAGACUUGUGCCCUAGCAUAGAAACUCAAAGACGGCUGUUUACAACAUCAUUGAAGCAAUUUUAUCAAGAAUCAUUCAUGAAUCCUUCUUGUAAUUCUUCUCUAAUCUCUAUCUCUUUUAUCUCUGUAAUGAGUAACUAAACCCUAUUUGUUACGGAUGAGUGUAACAAGAUGAAACCCUUAUUUUUAUGAUUUGAUUUCUAGUUAUAUGAAUGAGUUUAUUGAAUUAUUUUUCUCAUAUCUGUGCUUAAUGCUUUUUAUUGUUUGAUCAACAUUAAAAUGUUCUACGAUUUGUAUUUUGAAACAGAAGUGGACUUUACGAAUGCUUGAGAUGAGAAAUUCAUGAAUUUGUAAUCUAGACAUAGGUGCAGGUCAUAAAACCAAUUAAAUUAGUUGCAAAGCAAUAAUUUACAAGAGAAUUUCUAUACGGUAAUGCUUAAUUCUAAUCUUAAAUAUACUAAGGAGUUAGAGGUUACUUUGGAAUUAAAGGUUCUGUCACUAAGACAUUAGGGCAAGAAUAAUAAAGAGAAUUCGGUAAUAAUUCAAUAAAGGAUCAAAUUUGACACCAAGGUUGGAUUCGAAGUGAAACUCAUCCCUGACAUUUUUCUCAAUUUAUAAAGGAUCAAUUUUACUAUUAUUGUCAAUUUUAAAUAUUAUUUCAAUCAACUUGGGAACUUUUGUUCAAUUUUAGUAGCUAAAUAUAAUUCAAUAGUAAAAUGCAAUCCUUGAGUUCGACACUCGGUACUACUGUUUUAAUUAUUCCUUGCAAUGAUUUAGUACACUUGCUGAAACGCUAUCAAUUCACGACGAGGCUCAUAAUUUCAUGUGGACAUAUGGUUUUUAUUAAUUUAUCUUUCUUGCUUACAUUUAAGAUGGCACUACAAAAAAAAGUAUAUAUUGUGACACUCAGUUUUUGUAAUUUACUUUUAUCUGCCACUAAAGCUAUGUUUAGCUACAGUUAAGGUGUCACUGUUUCUAAAAAUAUUAUACUCUUUUUUGUAAAAAAAAUUAAAUGAACAAAAACCUUCUAAAGUAGAAAAUGGUUUUCCCUUUCUUCUCAUUUCUCUCAUGUUUGGUUAAACCCAUUUCUUGAUUUCCAUUACUUCUCUCUCAGAAAUUUUUCCACAUUCCAGUUAGGGUUAAAUCGUUUUUCCAUUUUCCCUCUCAGAAAUCACUAUGCUUCUCUAGUAAUUAUUGGAUUUCCGUUGACUUUCCUCUUCGAUUCAUGUUCCUCUUCAAUUUUUUUGUUUAAUCGGGAUUCUCUCAUAACAAUCAAGCAGAUUCAGUUUUUCCUUUCAUCUAUCUUGUUGCAAUUCGAUUUUCUGCGAUUCAAUUUAGGUCUUCUUCUUUCAAAUCGUAAAAUCGUUCAUCUUCUAACAAAUCGUUCUUCUUCUCCAUUCGAUUGGAUUAUGUUCAUCCGAUUUUCUUCAAUUUCAUUUGUCUUCAAUUUCUUCUUCUCCCUGGUAUAUUAUGAUAGACAACUAUAUUCAGUAAGUUGCAGAACUAGUCUUCAAUUCAUGUUGAAUAAGUAAGUUGCAGCCUCUAGUAGCAGCUUUCUACCUCUUGAUAUUGGUAAUUGAAAAAGCACAAAACAUGUUAAAUAGUAAUGACAAUCUUCAUGAGCAAUGAACAUUCAUUUACUUUGAUUUUAGUCUUAGCUUUGCAUGAUUUCAGUCUUAAGCCAAGUUAUCCUUUGUUUUGAAAUUUGUUAUUGCCAUUGAAUGAAACCUUUUGUUCUUCCAGAUUAAUAUUGCUCUAUAAAUUGUUUUAUACAUCUCUCCUAAAUAUUUGAAAGAGAACACACUUGUAUUAUGUUGAGCCUCAAGGAGUAGAAUAGUAGCUUCUCUAUGUGUCAUGUUUGUUUUUGUGUCUUUUGAAGAUGAAAAACAUUAUUUUACACUAAUGAAGAUCUUCGUAUUAUGUUAUAUGAAUUGACUUUCGCUUGUAGCCUAGCUCUGAUUUUUGAAGACAGAUUACAGGCGGUUAAAAAUCUACUUCUUUUUAUUGUGUUAAAUGAAUAGAAAUGAAUUUGAGACAUAAAGUUUUUUGGAUUAGAUUUUUUAGACUUAUAUUGCAGCAAUAUCAACUGCUUCGGGUUUAUCUUUACUCAAAGUUGGUGGAAGAAUGGUUUAUUAAACAUGCUCAAUGAAUCCUAUUGAGAAUGAAGAUGUGGUUGCAAAGGUACUCUACUUUGAGUGUUGUCUAGUCUAUACUUUUAUGUAGCCUUGCUAGUCGCUGGGUUGACAUAGAAAAGUGCUUUACCAUAGUAAGUUGAACUAAUGCGCAAUUACCUUUGAAGCACAGUACAUCAGUUUGUUCCAUUUCCGCCUAUGUGGCACCAUGGUGAAUUUUGUGCCAGCCGCCAUAGGUCAGAACACCUAUAUUAGCCACCAUGUUUCCGCCAGAGGCUGCAACACCAGUUUAUAUGGCUGAUUUUUUGUUUGCCACCAUAAUCCUCCAAUGUCAUUAAGAACACUUGGUAAAAUUUGAAAACAAUUAAGCAAGUGCAGGCCUGCAAAUUUCGGCCACAAACAAACUGCAACACGUUUUUCUUGCAUAAUUUUUUUUAUUGUGGUCAUGUAUCAGCUUAGCCCCAAAACCAUUUCAUUCCUCUUUCACUAGCAUAGCGUAUGCCUAGCUCAUGGUACUAAGGUGCGGUGGUUGUUUGAAUUGCAGCUAUUUUGGGUUUAUUCUCCUAUUACCCUUGACUAGCCUUCUACCCUCACUCCCAACAUUUGAUUAAUAGUAUGAGUGCUAAUUGAUAACUAUUGAUUUUUAAGUGUAAGAUUAUGCGUCUAUUAGUUUAUUUUACCACUAUUGCCUUGACUAGAAGUUAGCGCUAGAUAUGAUAUUGCGUCGGCUAGUGUCACCGCCAAUUCUUCUGCCUUGACAAUGAUGCAUCUGAAACAAUUAUUUUUUGUCAUCUCUUUGAGCUACAAACAUUGUUGCCAAGCAAAAAAAUUGCUUAGAGGGAAUGCAGAUUGGGGUGGUAAAUACUUUGAUGACACUUAUCUUAUUUUAGAGAUAGAUUUCUUCUAGUGUGGAAAAAAUGAUAUUGGAUAGGUUUAUCUAAUCUAAUGAAACUCCAUAUUGGCUGGCUGAUUGUACCAAUUUCCCUAUGAAGCCUAAUUGCGUAGGUUGUCAAUCUCGAAUAAUCGAGCAGACCAGCCAACCCUUAAUCAGGAUUGGUGUAACUGGAAGGCUUAAUAUAUGUAUGUACGUGUAUUCUAUAUAUAUAUAUAUUUAUAUGUUAUUCUAAUUGGAAAGGAGAACUAGGUAGAUCUUGGGCCUAGUACAUGAAAAUCAAAUAAGUAGUUGUGCUCAAUUCCAUUUUCUUUAUCCUCUAUUCUUUUUUUUACUGUUUUGCAGGUUUUGCGGAGGUGUGGAGGGUCUUUCGAACUUGUUGAUGUAUCGAGUGAGCUUCCACAACUUAUUCGUCGGCCAGGUCUCAAGAGAUGGAAGGUUUGUGUUUUAGUGGUCAAUUGAUUGUUUAUUUCUUUCAGCAUUCCAGUUUUGAUUAUAAUACAUUUAAUAUUUAAAAAAAAAAAAAACAAAUAUGUUGCUUAUGUAUACAUGUCAAAGUUUGUGCGUUUGUGGGUUUUUUUUGGGAGAUCAUCCCCAUUUAUAUCAUGUGAUUAGAGACAAACUAAAGGGUUUUGAAGGAAAAUAGUGGCUGGUUGGCGUUCUUAGUUUCCUAUGUUUUGUAAGGAAAUUGAAUUUAUUUUAAGCUGUUGAUUUUGGAGGUGCAUGUAUAUGACAAGGGCAGUUGGUUUGUUUCUUCCAAAGAUGUUCUCAAAUUUCAUAGAAGUGUAAUUCUUUCCAGUAAGUUUCCUUCUGGAAUACGCUAUCAGGAUCUGGGCGACAAUAAUUUUAAUGCUGACAAGGGAGAUGACAUUACUAGUGUGGUUAAUGGAAAAGCUGAAGAUGGAAAUGAAGCACUAGAGAAUCAUGUGAUGUCUGAGUCUGCCAAAGAAGCUUUUAAUUUUCCUCUUGAGCAUUGCAUGAGGAUAAUGCCUCAUGAUCAAAACACUGGGGCCUUCUUUAUUGCUGUGCUGCAAAAAGUUUCUCCUUUUCCUGGUAGUCUUUCUUAUAUAAUAACAUUUUUUUCUCUCUUUUUUACCUCAGUUUCCGUUAGUUAUUAGUCGGGAAAUCUGGGUUAACAUAAUGGAAAUAAUUCCAAGAUCUCAUUUCUACCAUGUUUAUAUUCAUUUUACCCGAACUUUUUCUCAUGUUUGUAAUUGUUUUCAUUCUUGCAUCUCUUCUCAUUGUUUUCACUCUUGCAGCUCUUCUCGAAAAACCCAUCACAAAAAUUGAUGAAUAAUAUGUAGAACCAGCAAACCAUAGUCUUGAGGAUGCACAAGCACCGCAAAUCAAUUCAUCUGAAACCACACUUGAAGAAGUCUUAGCAGUUCCAGAAGAAAAUGGGAAUGACAGUGUAUCCAAUACAGAAGACUUGGAAGUUAUUACAUGUGAAGAAAAGAAUUCUGAGGAAGCUAAAGAACCCAUAAUGCACAAAACACAUAAAAGAAGGUACCGGGAAAAGAAAGCUACAAAGUCAAGGCAAAAGUAGAGGUGUUGACCCAAUUCUCUUUUUCAAAGAUGAAGCAGUUAUUAAUAGUAUAAAGGAUUUUUAUGGAAUAGAUGAGCGUUUUUCAUUCAAUGGUCACCUUGUUACAAGACACAAUGAUAUGAAUCAUGUGAAAAGAAUUUACUAUGUCUCCAAGUCAGUCAAGGAUAUUCUUGGGUUGAAUUUCUCAGUUGGGCAACAACUCAAAAUAACCUCAGUUGGACUGAAGAUGUUUGUAAUUAACUUCAUUCUCAAAUUUAGUGAUAUUGUUGUUUUUUGGUUAGAAUUUUUAUCUGAGUGCAUGAUUGUGAUUGGAUGACAGUGUAAAAAACUCUAUUAUACCUGUUGGUGCAUCUCCCUCUUCUCUUAUUAUUUUACGAGGCUGAUUUAUUUAUCAUUCAUAUUCCAGAUUUAAAUAAAUAAUAAUUUGUUAGACAAUAAUGAUCUCACCAUUAGAAGGCCUAAAAGUAUUGUUUAGUAACUUGGUAGAUAAUGGUGUAGGCGCAAAAGAUCGAUUUAGACAUGGAAGACAGAUUCUGACAGAGUUUGAAUAUCAAAAAUGAAACGUAUAAACUUUUUAUUGUUUCAUGUUGAAGAAGUCAAUGCUAGUUAUAUCUUGUUGCUUCUCAUAGAAUUAGAUUCUAGUACAUCAUCAAUCAUUUAAUGAAUUUUAGUACUUUGUCAUUUUUAUUUCCUGUUUUGUUGGCUCAAAUGUUAAGGUGCAUGUUGAGUUUUUAUUGGAUAUGAAUUAUUGUUGACCAUUCUCAUCUCAUUUUGACAUAAUAAUUUGUAAGGAUUAUGUGUAAUAUAAUGACUAAUUAAUUUAUUUAGAACUGCUUUACAAACCUGAUUCUUGUAUGCAUCACUCUAGAGCUACACAAGUAGCAUGCAUACCACAGUCUACCCUAUUAAAUUAGUUGCAUCGAAUAAUUUGUUAAAUAAAUAUAUUAGUAUUUCAAUGGCAUCGCUUGUGCAGUAAUUUUGUGUAUCUUCCAAGAGAUGAAGUUUUUGGUCACUUAAAAUCAUCAGACUUUCUUACUUAUGGAUUGAAAGUUGUAUCUCAAAAUGUGGUUCCAGCGUUAGAAUCUGUAUUCUUUGAUUAGAAUUUCACACCAAAUGAGUUUGAUAGAUUUGAUGAAUUUCAUGGAUUGUAUGAGGGUGGAAUUGAGCUGCCAAGAGACAUACUUAGCAAGAUUAGUCCAUUACCUGGGCUCAACGAAAUCUUCUUCAUAUUUUUUAUGUAAAUUUAUUCAUUUGAAUUUUAAUUAUUGUUGCAACAUUUUUGUUGGUAAUUAAGUGAUAAUCCAUUUCUGUAAGAAUUUGUUUUUGCUUUCUUAGAACAUUCUUUUGAUUUUAUUGUGUGUAGUUACCAUGAUAGAGGUAGUUUUUAUUCUAUUGGGAUGCUUCAACUUCUAUUACUAUUUGAUACAUGUGUUUUGUGUUAUUGUUGGGUAAGUUGAAAUGUCAUAAGUGUUAUCAUGAUUGCAUCUCAUGUAAGGGCGUCUUGAAAUUUAGUGUUUUGUUGAUUGCUCUAGUGUUGGCAUAUAGUCAUGUAAGUGGGGUAAAUUAAAUUAUAUUUUAGUUUAUGUUUCAAUGGCAUUAAUUAAUAAAAAUAAAUUAAAAUUUUAAAUUUAAUUUAAUUGUAUUAAUAAUUUAGAAUUACAAUUAGUAGGGAGAUAAAACAAAUUUAAUUUAAUAAAUAAUAACAGGUUUUAGUGACACACAAUAUCGUAGGAAUAGAUUAAUUCUUUAUUUAUAUUUUUUUUGGUUUUAGUGACAGACAUUCAUGAUGUUCAAACCUUAAUAUCUUUUUACCAUUUUAUCUAUUUUUACUUUAGUUGACUUAUCUUAGUUUUUUAUAAAGCACAAAUUUAAAAUAAUACUCAUAAAGAAUGACUUUUUAUUCUACAUUAAUUUCACCUACUACUAUUUAUCUAUGCAUAUGCAUAUAAUAUUAUAACUACUUAAUCUACAAUUUUAAAAUAUAUUAUCUUAAUUAACUAAGUAAUUGCAUUCAAGUUGAUAAUAAAUUUUAGUAAAGGACGAAUAAUUUAAAAGAAUUUAAAUUCGAAUUCUAACUACAACAACUAUUGACCAGACUUUACUUAUAUAUCGGUCGAACUCCAUAUUACUAGAACUCUUUUCUCUAAAAACCAUAUAAUUAAAAAAAUUAUCUUAACUCUUUUUUACAAGAUCAUAACCCAAAAAAAAAAAAAAAGCUGUACUUACUUAAAGUUAUUAUUAAAACAUAAACAAAAGGAAACAUAUUGGGGGAUAAACCAAAUCUAAAGAAUACAGUCAUUUAAAAUGCUAAUCAAUUCCCUCAUUAAAAAUUUUAUUUGAAUAAGUCAUUGAGAUAAAACCAUAGUGAAAAAAAAAGUACAAUGCAAACAAAAACUAAAUCUAAAACAAAAUAUAUCAAUAGAAAUGAUCACUAAUUAAGAAAACAAAAUCUAUUAUACAAUAAGUAUCCCCUAAUGAACGCAGAUAAAUUAAAUAAUUCCAUAGAAGUAAAGUAGAAGCAAUAAUUUUAUAAUUUACUAAUUUAUCCGCACAAUUGUCUUCUCAAUAAAUUCUUACAUCUCUAAAGAAAGAAAAAUAGUUUUUUUCACAUGAUCAUUUAUAAAUGUCAAAGGAUCCAACUAUGAUUCUUUAAAGAGCCAACUACAACCAAAUAGUUGUUUCUAACCAAAGGCUAAGCUAACAUCUUGAAUAAGAAUUUUACAUAUAAAACAUAUCGGCUAAUAAUUCUACAUGAAAAGUAAUAGUGAUGACAAAUUUCAUCUCAAAACUACCAAGAAAAGUUGUUAUGCUAUUUUCAAAAAUACCUUUGGCCACCAACAUCAUCAGGUGGGCCUCUGGCAGUGCCAUCAAUAUUAAACUUUAUCAAACUAGGAGGAGUUGGACACCAAUAAACUUGAACGAUAGUCACAAGGGGUCGACCAUGAACCCAAUCAGUCCGAAGAAUCUAAAACUCCAACCUCGAGAAAGACACAUGCCAUGUAAAAUGGGAUCCAAUCAAAUUAACCACAUGCUGAACCAUUUUGCAAGCAAUCUAAAAAGAAAUCCUCUAAAUUGUGGAGUAUGCACCGCAUAGAAUUCACAUACUUAAGUUGGGCUGCCUCGUUUAAUCUAAAAAAAAAAAAAACUAGAGGAUCACGAGGUGAGGUAAGUUGGACUGUCAUACUAGAUUAAAAUAAGAUAUACUACAAUUUUUGUUCAUUUAUUUUUACCAAUUAUUAGAAUUGGUUCCCCUAUUUUUUAACGCAAUAAUUUUAAUCUAUCCCUCAUAUUUUUUAACUAAUAAAAUGAUGAUUUAACAUCUUUUAAAUGACACGAUAUAUGAUGUUAUUAUUUAGAACCAUCUUAAUAGAUUAAUUAUUCAAUUAUUAAUUUAAUUACAUAAAUGAAUCAUUAUUGAAAUUGAAACUAAUUUUUUUGGAAUAUUUUAUAUCAAUUUUAUUGGUAUUAAUCUGUCAAAAUUAUUUUAUCAUAAGUCAUGUCGUUUAAAAUAUGUCACAUUAUCUUUUAGUUAAAAUUUUUGAGAGAUAAACCAAAAUUGUUGGAUUUUAAAAUAUCGGUGCCAAUUCAAAGAAUUAAUAAAACAAAUUAAAAGAUCAAAACUAAAAUUAAGUUUUUAUUAAAUUAAUUCAAACUUUAGUUGACACUUUUUUUGGCAGAUGUUUAACUAACUCAACCAAACAAAAAGAGUAAAUUUGAUUCAUUAACAUUGUAGCCGGAUUUGAUUACUCUUGGAGUAGACAUUAUAGCUAUUUGGUCUGCAAUUGCUCCAAUUUUUGAUUUUUUUGGUGAAAAAAGAAAAUUGGAGAAUUCACAAGCAUUCGUUGCAUAUUUACUUAUUAUUAUGUAUUAAACUAAGAUAAAUAGUUUUGUGAGCUACACAAUUGAGUCCAAAAAACACCUCCGAUGUAGAAUUUGUUGAGUCCUAUGAGGACAAUGAAGCGGACAAUAAAAUAUUUUAAUGUGGACAAAGUAUUAAUGAGACGGCUUUACAACUAAUCAUAGGGGAUGGAAGUAGUCGCUCUAAGGGAUCGUCGCCAAAAGAUUUACAUUAUCCUUCUCAAAGCCCCACAUGUUCCAAACUUCAUCUGAGUGGAAGCUUCAAUAAAAGUGUUACAAAUAUCAGAUUACCGAUAUCUACUUACAGACAAAUGUUCUCACAAGAGAUGGAGCAUUGAUGAAGAGUUUUAUUACAUCAAUAUUUUUUUGAUUUGGGAUGAUGGUAAGUUUAAAGUGAAUAGUCUAAUUACUGAUUUUGAUUUACGAGUUGAGAGAGGCACGUAUGCCAAUUUAUAAUAUAUACAUUUCAUACAUAUUGUAAUUUUUAACUUUCUAUUUUGUAUUAUUAUUGAAUAAACUGUAUACUUGUUAAAAAUAUAAAAAUAUGAAAUAUAUCUUUAUCUUGUUCAUUAAUUCAUGACUAGGCUCAAAAUCUUUUGUUUGACCCACAUCUUAUAACACAACAUGUAACACCCCAAAUUUUAUAAUAAAUUAAUUUUAUUAAUAAAAUAGAAUUUUAAAUAAUUAAUUUGGUAUUAAAGUUAUUUUAAAAUAUAUAUUGAUUAAUUUUCUUUAUACGUGUGGUUUCUAUGAUAUGUUAAUUUCCUACAUAUUGAACUAAAUGUGUAAUGUAAGUAACAAAUAUUGUAUUUUAAAUAUAUUUCUAAAAAUAAUUGUAGUUUAGCGUAAAUAUUUAAAGAGUAAAAUUUUAUGCGAUUUUACGUGUAUAUACGCGUAGAUAAUUAAAAUGAUAUUUUUAUAUACAUUUAACUAAAUGACAAAUAUGUGCACUUAAUUAUAUUUUAAUUACUCCUAACUAUUUCUUACUUUAAUUAAUUCUAUUAUAAAUAACUAUUUUGAAUAUUUUAGAGUAUCAAUUUUUACUAUAAAAGUGUUAAAACAUAUUUUCGAUGUCAAAAUGCCUUAAAGUGCAUAUAUUAGUAAGUAUAGUAAUAAUUAUGAAUACAAGAGUUUUUGUUAUUAUUGAUAUAUUUAUAAAAAUUUAAUUGCUUUAAUUAAUAUUUUUUUCUUGAUAAAAUAUUAGUUUUGAAAUAUUAAUAAUAUUGUGCUUAAUUUUCUUUAUGUGUACUUCUUAAGUUGUGUCUAUUUUAUACGUAUUUAAUUGAUUUAGUGACUUAUAUAAAAGAUUUGAUGUUAUAUUCUUUUAUUUUCAUUUUAACUGUUUUUAUAGUAUAAUAAUAUUUUAAUUUAAUAUUUUGAAAGAUAUUAUUUUAGUGGCAAAUAAAUAAAUCAAAAUAAGUGUGUAAUUAGUUGAUCUUGUAAAAAAAUAAAAUAUAAUAAAAUGAACUCAAAGAGUUAGGUUAAUAAUAACUAAUAUGUUAAAAAAGAUAAUUAAAAUCAAAUGUAACCUAACCUAGGAAAGAAAAUGCUAGAGUAAAAAAAGUUGAAAUGUAGAGAGCAGCGCAACUUGACGUCAUAGGAAGAAAAAAAUUGAUACCGUUCGUCGAUCGAUGUUCGGAAAAUUUUCUCCAUUUUAUCCAAACUUCAGUAUAUUGUUUCACUCAUUUAGCUAGUCAAUUAAAUAAACUUUCCCAGAUUUUUAACUAUUACAAUUUAUCUCUAAAAUUCUUGACUUCUCCAUUUAUAAAAUUCAUCAUUUUGUACCGUUCUUCUUCACUGUAAGUUCGAUUUGAGUGAAACUAUUGCCAAAACGAUCGUGUUAAAAUUGGCUAUAUUAUCCACUGAUUAGCUUUCUAAUUUAUGGUAAGUUUCCUUGACCAAAUUUCGAAAUUUAUCUUUUAGAGUGUCUUCUCGUAAUUUAUUUUUGACGUUUACCCAUAAACUGUCAAGUUAGAUCAAUUGAAGGAUAAAGAGUUAAAGGACAAAUGUUGUUUGCUCGUGGAAUUGUAUUCAUGUGUGAAAGCGUCGAAAUAAGAUAAGGGGUGAGAGAACGUUUGAAUUCAUGAAUAUGAUAUAUUAUGAGAUGAACGGAAAAACCAUAUUUUCUAACGAUUCAUCUGUGGCUCGCUACGUUUUACAGUAGCCGUUUGAGUGAUAAAUUAAUUAAUGUGCAAAUAUGGUAAUUGUGAGAAUAAAAUAUGGAAUAUAAAUAUUUAUAAGGUGUUGAUAAAUUUAAUUUCGUGAAAUAAGGGCUAUUUGAUUAGACGAGUCUAUGUGAUGUGAUGAUAAAAGAUGAAUUCAUUUUGAUAAGUUUACGUGAUUAUAAUGAUGUAUAAUUAAUAAUAGUAAUGUUAUAAAUUUGUGAUAAAUCUAUGUGAUGAUGUAUGAUUGAUGAUAGUGACGCUAUAAAAUUAUGAUGAGUUUAUGUGAUCAAAUAUGAUUAAUGAUAGUGAUGUCGUAAAUUUGUGAUGAGAAUAUUGAAGUAACUUCAUAGUAGUGAAAUAAUUGUGAUUCUAAUUUGUGUUUGAGAUGACGGUUUUAAUGGAGUAUCAUAGGCCAACGAGGGGAGAAAAUAAAUAUUGAUAAUUUGUGAAGUGAAUAUUAUUUUGUCAUCAUAUAGGUAGGGCCUGACAAGCCUAGUGAUUAUGGGGAAGUACAACUGAAUGAGCCUCAUGGUGGCGUGGCGGUCUGCUGUUGAGCCUUAAGGCAAGAUUGUUAGACCUUUGAGGUAUUCAAGUGGGAAAUUCCUAGGUGACAUGGAGGUAGCACUCCAAAUAUCGGGAGCUACCAUGCAACACACCUUUACCUCGACUGUCGCAUAUAUGUGUCUCGGGUUGAGUUGAGGGGUUCUAUGAGAACAGGGCCAAUUUGAAUUGUUCGUCCACCGGAAUGGUGGCAUAAUAUCAAACCUCAUAACCAAGUACUUUAGAGUUAGAAUGGUACCACAUUGUGAAGUAGAAUAUUUGCUCAUGCAUUGCAUUGCAUUUUAUUGUGAUUGUUUUGUUGUGAUUAAUAAAUAUCAUGUGUGAUAAUAAAUUAUCUUAGAUAAUUUGAUGUUAUAGUGAAAUGCAUUGAUUUUACUUGAGUGAUUUUAACUUUAUAAUGUGAUGUUUUUCCUUGAAGAAUGUUUGUGUUAUGAUACAAUAUAUUAUGAUUGUUUGCGUGUUCUUCUUACUUAUAUUAUGCUAUUGACAUAAUUUCAAAAUUCACCUCCUUCCUUGUUUGUGUUUGACUGGUUUGACCCGGAAUUUGUGAAAUCGCAGUUAUUACAAGUUAAUGAGUCUUGAAGUUCAAGUUUGGAGAAAACCCGCUCUGAUAAGUGAUACCGAGAAUUAAGAGUUGUAAUUUUAUAUUUUAAUUAUAUAAUUACAAAUGACUUUUUAUAUGAAAACCUUAGUACUACGUAAGUUUUUGGAAUUAAAAUAAGAAUUUUCUAUUAAAUCAAGUUCUUUGAGAUUAAAUUGUUUUAUUUAAAUAAUAAAGUUUGAAUUGUUUAAUGUGUACUUUGAGAAACGUGAUAUUCUAAAUUAAAAAAAAAGUUUUUAUUUUCUUGGAAGCAUAUUUUUAUUUAUCCACUGCAAAUUUUAUAGAAAUAUAAUAUAAAUUAAUAUAUAUAUAUAUAUAUAUAUAUAUUAUUUUGAGGUUUAAGGUGUGAUACAAUUUAAUGACUAAACGAUGCAAGUCACUUGAAACUUACAAAUAAAAGGAAUGGAAAUAUAACAAAGCAUAAAUAAUUAGAGAGAGGUGUUAGUCAACACAACCACAAACCAUUCUUUAAUAUUCCCUAAAUCAGAUCAAAAUCACUUGGAGGCUCAGUAUACAAAACUCCGAGUAGUGCCUGCUGUAAAAUAAACAUUCUUGUCCAAAACUUUCUAAACCUAGAUCAAAUAACUCCCAAAAUGAAGCAGCAUCAGUUAUCAAUCCUUACAAUAAUCAGCUAUAACUUCCCCUUUAGUAAUAUAGAUACAACAUUUUAUUGUUUUAUAUAUUAUAUUUAUUAAAUAUAUAUGUUAUUUAUUUUAUAUUUGGGUUGGACAUUUUUUCUUUUGUGUAAAAAAAAAAGAAUCUAAUUUAUGUUAAAUUUAUAUAUUUAAAUAUUAUAAAUUAAAUAUUACAACCAAUAUAGUAAAUAUUUUUUUAAUUUAGUAAACAUUUUUUAAAUUUGGUAAAUAUUUUUUUAAUUUAGUAAACAUUUUUUAAAUUUGGUAAAUAUUUUUUUAAUUCUUAAGAUCUCGUAAAAACACUUAUGAUGUUAUAUUUUAUAAUUAUAAAUAUAAUACUUAUAAUAUUUUAUUCAUAGGCAUAGAUAAAUAUAUAAUAAGUGGGAUUAAUGAAGAACGACAAAUCAUUCUUAAAAAACAAAAUUAGAAAUUAUAGCCUAAUAAAUUAUAUAAUAAGGUAUUUGAAGUCGGUCAACAAAUAAAAAAAAAUACCUAAUAUGAUAAAAAAAAAUUAUGCUUUCCACCUUAUUAACGUCAAAAUAUUUCCAAUUAUGAUAUUUCAUAUAGAAUUCUAAUUUGCCUAUAAAUAGCUACAUAUUGUUUUAAUAUACAACUAACUAUAAGAUAUUUGUUUUGGUUUUCUUUACAAAUUGAAUUUGAUUAUUAUGGAAGCUCUAUUGAAGAUGUUUUUUAAGUUUUUGGUGGUGAUACUUGUUGUGAUUGCAGGCCCUCUAAUUGGUAAUGUUCAUGGUGAUGAUUUACCACCUUGUUGCCUAAAUUUUGGUCAAGUGUGUCAGCCAGUUGUGUGUGAUAGACCUCCAUGUUGUCGUCCUCCAUCCAGUCAAACGAAACUUUAAUUCCAUGUAAUAUGUAAUAAUGUAUCAAUAAGAUCGAAUAAAACAAUAUAUUUUCUAUUAUUU
rnacentral:lncRNA from 1 species